GAUGAACGCUAGCUACAGGCUUAACACAUGCAAGUCGAGGGGAAACGAUGAGAGAGCUUGCUCUCUUAGGCGUCGACCGGCGCACGGGUGAGUAACGCGUAUCCAACCUGCCCAUUACAGGGGAAUAACCUUGCGAAAGUAAGACUAAUGCCCCAUGGUAUUCUCAGCAGACAUCUAAUGAGGAUUAAAGAUUUAUCGGUAAUGGAUGGGAAUGCGUCUGAUUAGCUUGUUGGCGGGGUAACGGCCCACCAAGGCGACGAUCAGUAGGGGUUCUGAGAGGAAGGUCCCCCACAUUGGAACUGAGACACGGUCCAAACUCCUACGGGAGGCAGCAGUGAGGAAUAUUGGUCAAUGGGCGAGAGCCUGAACCAGCCAAGUAGCGUGCAGGAAGACGGCCCUAUGGGUUGUAAACUGCUUUUAUAGGGGAAUAAAGGAUCCACGUGGGAUUAUUGUAUGUACC
rnacentral:rRNA from 1 species